rnacentral:rRNA from 1 species
UGGGGAAUAUUGCACAAUGGGCGCAAGCCUGAUGCAGCAUGCCGCGUGUAUGAAGAAGGCCUUCGGGUUGUAAAGUACUUUCAGUCGGGAGGAAGGUGGUAAGGUUAAUAACCUUAUCAAUUGACGUUACCGACAGAAGAAGCACCGGCUAACUCCGUGCCAGCAGCCGCGGUAAUACGGAGGGUGCAAGCGUUAAUCGGAAUUACUGGGCGUAAAGCGCACGCAGGCGGUUGAUUGAGUCAGAUGUGAAAUCCCCGGGCUUAACCCGGGAAUUGCAUCUGAUACUGGUCAGCUAGAGUCUUGUAGAGGGGGGUAGAAUUCCAUGUGUAGCGGUGAAAUGCGUAGAGAUGUGGAGGAAUACCGGUGGCGAAGGCGGCCCCCUGGACAAAGACUGACGCUCAGGUGCGAAAGCGUGGGGAGCAAACAGG